AAUUGGACACCGGUGUGUUGGGAGGUUACAGUUGUUUCGCCAGCAGGUAUAAAAGGCUACUUUUGGACUAAUUAGCUACUCUUUCAGCCUGGGCACGCGGGGAGGUUACAGGAGCUCACAGGCUAAAGACGCACAGCCAGACACAGCACUAAACAUGUCGGACUCUGAGAGCGCUGCUGCCCCCGCCGAGGCCCCCGUGCCCGCCGCCUGUGAGGCCAUCAAGGCAGACCUGGACAAAUGUUUGGCAGGUAACGGCGAGGAGGGCUGCAAGGAGCUGAUGGAGGCGUUUGCCGCCUGUGUGAAGAGUGCUGCUGAGGCGUCGUGAGGCAUGGAGCUCGGUUCUCGGGGUAAUGUCCACUGCACUGAGUCCUCCACCUUCCCAGCAUUCCCUUCUGCACAUGGCACUGGACUGAAUGAGUUGACAGAUUCUUAUGGGGGUUUGGUGGCAGAAUCUCAUCUUGUCCCCUGGAUCCUUCCCUCCUGUAAAGCUUAUAUACGUGAUCUCUGAGCUGAGCCUCCCUCUGUCCCCCAUGCCCCCCUCAUGGCUGAAUUGUAGGCAGUUCUGGAGAGCCCAUGGCUGUUUUAUGUAAAAUUGUCUUCAUGAUGCUUACAUUUAAAUGGAAAUAAUAAAGUGGUGAUUGGUACAGUGUA